rnacentral:rRNA from 1 species
AGGACGAACGCUGGCGGCGCGCUUAACACAUGCAAGUCGAGCGAGAACCAGGGCUUCGGCUCUGGGGACAGCGGCGAACGGGUGAGUAACACGUGAGCAAUCUGCCCCUAGCUCUGGGAUAGCUCCGGGAAACCGGGAUUAAUACCAGAUAUUACUACGGCCGACAUCAGCUGUGGUGGAAAGAAUUUCGGCUAGGGAUGAGCUCGCGGCCUAUCAGCUUGUUGGUGGGGUAAAGGCCCACCAAGGCGACGACGGGUAGCCGGCCUGAGAGGGCGACCGGCCACACUGGGACUGAGACACGGCCCAGACUCCUACGGGAGGCAGCAGUGGGGGAAUAUUGCGCAAUGGGCGAAAGCCUGACGCAGCGACGCCGCGUGCGGGAUGAAGGCCUUCGGGUUGUAACCGCUUUCAGCAGGGACGAAGCGAAGUGACGGUACCUGCAGAGAAGCGCCGGCUAACUACGUGCCAGCAGCCGCGGU